GGGAAUGUGGCUUAGUGGUAGAGUGCUUGCCUAGCAUGCAUGAGGCCCUGGGUUCAAUUCCUCAGUACCA
rfam:Dipodomys ordii contig_10562, whole genome shotgun sequence.